ensembl:snoRNA SNORA71 Small nucleolar RNA SNORA71
CCCUGUAUUCGAAAGUGAUCGUGGGCUGCCUGUGCCCUGGUCAUUGAUAGUGCAGGAAGAGGAACUGCUGAAAGCCUUUCCCCGUGUUUGGAAGGUCUACUGCUAUCCUUGCCAGACCCUGGAGCUUUCCCACA